rnacentral:rRNA from 1 species
CCUACGGGAGGCAGCAGUGAGGAAUAUUGGUCAAUGGACGGAAGGCUGAACCAGCCAUGCCGCGUGAAGGAAGACGGCUCUAUGAGUUGUAAACUUCUUUUGUACGGGGAUAAACGCAGAUACGCGUAUCUGUCUGAAGGUAUCGUACGAAUAAGGAUCGGCUAACUCCGUGCCAGCAGCCGCGGUAAUACGGAGGAUUCAAGCGUUAUCCGGAUUUAUUGGGUUUAAAGGGUGCGUAGGCGGUCGGAUAAGUUAGAGGUGAAAUCCCGAGGCUCAACUUCGGAAUUGCCUCUGAUACUGUUUGGCUAGAGAGUAGUUGCGGUAGGCGGAAGGUAUGGUGUAGCGGUGAAAUGCUUAGAGAUCAUACAGAACACCGAUUGCGAAGGCAGCUUACCAAGCUACUUCUGACGUUGAGGCACGAAAGCGUGGGGAGCAAACAGGAUUAGAUACCCGGGUAGUC